rnacentral:lncRNA from 1 species
UUGUUUCCAAUCGUUAUUCUCUUUCCAAUGCCUCCUCUUACAGAGCUCAGAGAUGUAAAUCUGUUUCCUCAUCCCAUUACUUCAAGAUCAUCACGAGGAAAGAAAGUAUCAACCUCUAUUGGAUCAAAACCAGGUUGCAUAAGGUUCUUAUUGUAUGCUACUUCAUUUUGAUCAAAAGAUGGAACACAAUAAUUUUUACUUUUUCCAAUAGAAGUUCUCUGUACAAC